AUUGAACGCUGGCGGCAUGCCUUACACAUGCAAGUCGAACGGCAGCGGGCCUUCGGGUGCCGGCGAGUGGCGAACGGGUGAGUAAUAUAUCGGAACGUACCUUUCAGUGGGGGAUAACGUAGCGAAAGUUACGCUAAUACCGCAUAUUCUGUGAGCAGGAAAGCAGGGGAUCGCAAGACCUUGCGCUGAUUGAGCGGCCGAUAUCAGAUUAGCUAGUUGGUGAGGUAAAGGCUCACCAAGGCGACGAUCUGUAGCGGGUCUGAGAGGAUGAUCCGCCACACUGGAACUGAGACACGGUCCAGACUCCUACGGGAGGCAGCAGUGGGGAAUUUUGGACAAUGGGCGCAAGCCUGAUCCAGCCAUGCCGCGUGAGUGAAGAAGGCC
rnacentral:rRNA from 1 species